rnacentral:rRNA from 1 species
AUACGGGGGGUGCAAGCGUUAUUCGGAUUUAUUGGGCGUAAAGGGCGCGUAGGCGGCUUGGAAAGUCAGAUGUGAAAGCCCGGGGCUCAACCCCGGAAGUGCAUUUGAAACUAUCAGGCUUGAGUAUGGGAGAGGGAAGUGGAAUUCCUGGUGUAGAGGUGAAAAUCGUAGAUAUCAGGAGGAACACCGGUGGCGAAGGCGACUUCCUGGACCAAUACUGACGCUGAGGCGCGAAGGCGUGGGGAGCAAACAGGAUUAGAAACCCCAGUAGUCC